GAAAGACAGGGACUAAAAGGUCUAUACGAGAACGCACUUUCUGGCUGCUGGUCAGAGCGGAGGAGCCGAAGUAGCCUAGGACGGCCGCUCCUGUUGUGUGUCUGGGCCUUGGCGGAAGUGGAGGUUCUAGGAGCAGCCCAGGAAGCCACUCUCUGCGCACGAGAUGGUUGGCUGUGGGGCUCUGGACUGUAUUUGAAUGGCGUGGAGGGAAGUCUCAGGGUGUCUCACCUCUUCGUGCCUUAUCAUGCUCAAAGUGGAUUAACCUCAUGGAUAAUGGAUCUGUUCCUGUAACAAGUUGUGACGGCUAAUUGUGCAUUGUGCCCAUCCUGCACCACAUGAAGGAAGGUAUUACUGCCGUGAAUACUAAGCCUUGAUGACUCAGUGUGCUGAGCUUUCUUUAUUUCUAGUACUGGGAGGAGAAAAGCUCGGCACCCCGGCUUUCUCUUUCAGAGUGCACACAACAAGCCAUACACAUCUUCCCGAAUCUUAGUUUGUGCUUCAGUAAACUGACUUAUUAUUUUUGCCUAUCACGUGUUGGUCUUUUCUACUAGAUGGUGAACCUUUCAAGUGAAGAAUGUGUAUUUCUGGGGCACCUGGGUGGCUCAGUUGUUAAGUGUCUGCCUUCGGCUCAGGGCCUGAUCCUGGAGUCCUGGGAUCGAGCCCCAUAUCGGGCUCCUCUGCUGGGAG
rnacentral:lncRNA from 1 species